rnacentral:rRNA from 1 species
UACGGGGGGAGCAAGCGUUGUUCGGAUUUACUGGGCGUAAAGGGCGCGUAGGCGGCCACCGCAGGUCGCCUGUGAAAUCUCCGGGCUUAACCCGGAAAGGUCAGCCGAUACUGCGGGGCUAGAGUGCAGAAGGGGCAACUGGAAUUCUCGGUGUAGCGGUGAAAUGCGUAGAUAUCGAGAGGAACACCUGCGGCGAAGGCGGGUUGCUGGGCUGACACUGACGCUGAUGCGCGAAAGCUAGGGGAGCGAACGGG